rnacentral:rRNA from 1 species
GACGAACGCUGGCGGCGUGCUUAACACAUGCAAGUCGAGCGGACAGACCCUGCGUUUGUGGGGUGCUCGAGUGGCGAACGGGUGAGUAAAACGUGAGUAACCUGCCCUUGACUGUGGGAUAACUUCACGAAACUGGGGCUCAUACCGGGUAGGAGCUCCUGCUGCAUGGGGGGGGUUGGAGAGUGACGGCGGUGUGGGCUGGACUCGCGGCUUAUGAGCUGGAUGGUCGGGUAGUGGCUUACAAAGGCUAUGACGGGUAGCCGGCCUGGGAGGUUGACCGGGCUCCUUGGGCCUGCGGUACGCCCCAGACUCGUACGUGCGGCAGCAGGCGGGAAUAUUGCACAGUGGCCCGACGCCAGUUGCGGCAACGCCGCGUUCGUGAUGACCGCCUUCUAGUUGUGAACCGCUUUCGACUGUGCCGUAGCGUGAGUGACGGUAACUGGUAAAGAAGCCCCGGCUAACUACGUG